rnacentral:rRNA from 1 species
GACGAACGCUGGCGGCGUGCCUAAUACAUGCAAGUAGAACGCACAGUUUAUACCGUAGCUUGCUACACCAUAGACUGUGAGUUGCGAACGGGUGAGUAACGCGUAGGUAACCUGCCUGGUAGCGGGGGAUAACUAUUGGAAACGAUAGCUAAUACCGCAUAAUAUUAAUUAUUGCAUGAUAAUUAAUUGAAAGGUGCAAUUGCACCACUACCAGAUGGACCUGCGUUGUAUUAGCUAGUAGGUGAGGUAACGGCUCACCUAGGCGACGAUACAUAGCCGACCGGAGAGGGUGAUCGGCCACACUGGGACUGAGACACGGCCCAGACUCCUACGGGAGGCAGCAGUAGGGAAUCUUCGGCAAUGGACGAAAGUCUGACCGAGCAACGCCGCGGGAGGGAAGAAGGUUUUCGGAUCGUAAAGCUCGGUUGUAAGAGAAGAACGGGUGUGAGAGUGGAAAGUUCACACUGUGACGGAAUCUUACCAGAAAGGGACGGCUAACUACGUG